rnacentral:rRNA from 1 species
UACAGAGGUCCCAAGCGUUGUUCGGAUUUAUUGGGCGUAAAGGGUCCGUAGGCGGUGGGGUAAGUCGGAUGUGAAAUCUCGGGGCUCAACCUCGAAACUGCAUUCGAUACUGCCUUGCUAGAGUACUGGAGAGGAGAUCGGAAUUUACGGUGUAGCAGUGAAAUGCGUAGAUAUCGUAAGGAAGACCAGUGGCGAAGGCGGAUCUCUGGACAGUUACUGACACUGAGGCACGAAGGCCAGGGGAGCAACCGGG